rnacentral:rRNA from 1 species
UGCGUAGGCGGGGCAAUUAGUCAGUGGUGAAAUCCUGCGGCUUAACCGUAGAACUGCCAUUGAUACUGUUGCCCUUGAGUAUAGUUGAGGUGGGCGGAAUGUGUAAUGUAGCGGUGAAAUGCAUAGAGAUUACACAGAACACCAAUUGCGAAGGCAGCUCACUAAGCUAUAACUGACGCUGAGGCACGAAAGCGUGGGGAGCGAACAGGAUUAGAGACCCGAGUAGUCC